CAAAGAACCAUUUCUAAACAGGUGCUUACAAGGAGUUCAACCCACCUUUGGUCCCUGACCUGGUGUUUUCUAAGUCCCCUGAAGGCUCUCUAUCUCCCAUUGCUCAGACAGAUCCAACAGAGUGACAGAGACCAGCAUGUUUAACCGAGAAUACUGUAUUUUCCUCAAGGACUGCAAAUCCAAGAUGGAGAUGCCAGCAAGGGUGGUUUCAGAGGAGACUUCUCUUUAAGAUCACGUGGCUGCCAUUCUUGUGUCUCUGAUUAGUCAUUUGGGAACUCAGUGAGGACCUCUUGCUGCAAAGGACAGUUUGGAGUUGUCUGCUUGUUUUAAUGCUUACUACGUGCUGGGAUGAUGUGUGCUUGUUUGUUUUUAAGAGGCUCCUAAUCUUACUCUCUGAUCUUCAGCCAGUUCCUCUCACGAUUGGCUUGAAGGGUACAGCCACCCACAGGACACCCAAACCCAGAUCUGCUGUGUUCAUCUGCAAAGCCUAAAUCAAUGAAGCCUUGUACACCAGUGUAUCAUCAAAAAUACAUGAGCAAAGCUGUUUGCCAAAUACAUCACUGACAAGAUUUAGCCGUUGCUUAAUUGCUUUGAUCUUUGCUAGUUUCUCUAGAGAAAGUUCCAAAACCUAUUGUCCUGGAAAGCACUUUAUAUUGGACUCUUUUGCACAAAUAUUGGGUGAGACUUAUCUAAGCUCUUCUGCAUACUGGAGCAUCAUCUAGAAAUCUUCAAAGGCUUUCUGACCAGUAGAAAUGAAGAGGUUCCUUUCAGACAUUGCCAAAGAUGUCAGAAGGAUCUUUGGACAAAAGGGAUUUGUCAGUCAGACACUGUAUAUUUUAAGUUUGUGUUUAUAAUAGUUUCAACUUUAACACAAUUUUCAUUAUAGCCAGAAUCUGAAUUCCAAGCACAAUUAUACUUAAUUUUGAAUGUUAGAAGAAUCUUGUGUUUGAAAUAAUCUCUGUCUAUAUUUUUCUGGUUAAUACAAAAAUGUUUCCUCUUCAGUAUUUACCAGAGUUUGGAAUGAGAGUGACUGUUCCCCAUAGACUCAAAUAUUUGAAUGUUUGAUUGUCACUUGGUAGACUAUUCAGGAAGAAUUAGGAGGAUAGCCUUGUUGGAGGAGUUGUA
rnacentral:sRNA from 1 species